GUUAUAAGAGUCGCACUGCGCUGCCUCCACCACCGCGGGCUGAUGCUAAUGCCGAAAUGACGUCGGAGUGGAUCUUCAGCCCUAAACCACAUUGGGAAGGAAAUAUGGAAACAUGUUUAAUAUAAUACCCCAGAAAUUCCGUGGUUUGAUUAGCACUUUUUGCCUUAACUCUCCGUCAAACGCGUCCUAUCUAGCACCCAGCUCGCCGGACAACGUGGGGCUCAUCACAGAGUUAUUUGUUAAUCAGCACAGCAGCACACUUCUCUCGCCAGAUAACCACAGGCAGGAAAACAUAAUCAUACAAGAGUGCGGGAAGAAGCGAGGGAGUGGGGCUUCACAGGCAAGUGAUGGAUCUAUUACCGGUGCCCAGGACACUAACUGGAUCAUGGGAAGGGACUGUGAGCAGUUCCUUGAACAUUGAAUGCGUUCAUGAUUCAGGGUGUGACGAUACCUUCAGCUCAGGACGAGAGGAGAAGCGAUAUUCAGGUCGAGACGAGACGCCGGCGCUCAUCCGUGCCAAACUGCACGACCUUCAUUUGACAAGGUCAUGACCUUAGUAACUAAUGCUGUUGGUGCGUGUCCUCACAUACAGUAGUUUAGCUGGCAUUACAUUUAUCAUAAAUGAUAUGUUCUUUUCUCUAAGCUGAGUGGACUCGAGGCUGCUGCUGAAGUGUUUUCAUUACAGUGAGCGUUUCGCCAUCUUCUAAUUAUUGCGUCCCCAUCUUCUAAUACAACCUUGUUUGCACCGGGACCUUUUGCUGCACUAAACCACUGAGUCAUCUCCUGUUCUGCCCCUGACCUAAACAAAAAUUGCUUUUUGUUUGUGAUCAUCCAAAUGCAGCCGUCCUCAGUUCCUUUUGUAAUUUCAUCCAUUCAGCUCCUUCGGCGCUUACUCUCUCAUAAGUCGCCGUGCUCUCUGCCUUUUGUGUGCGCAAGGCUGAGUGAGGAGUGGAAAAAGAGCAGGCGCACCGCGAGAAUGAAAUGUUUAAUUUGGGUGUUUUGGCCUUGUUAUAUCAGAUGAUUAUGCACUUAACUGCUGUGUGUCUGUUCAAGGCCGUGGCGUGAUAGGUAACUGAAACACACAGACGCCGCUGCUGCUGGGGAAGAGAUUUGGGCGUGUGUUUAGGUUUUUUCAGAAAACAGUAGAUACAGCAGCACAAACUAAUCGAACUGGAUGAAUUCAAAUUAGCAUGUGGCACGAAGUCUAAAAUGAUGAUCUUGUCUUUCUAAUACAUAUUUUAUUAUUGUUUUGAUAUGUCAUUUUUUGAUCUGACCCAUAUUUAAAGAUGUGUUUAGGUUUACUCACAUUUGUUUGAGUUGUGAUAGUGGAC
rnacentral:lncRNA from 1 species